AGAGGCCACUGCUAUCAGCGUCCGACUAAGCCAUGCGAGUCGUGGGCACCCCCUCAAGGGGGAGACCCGGCGGACGGCUCAGUAACACGUGGCUAACCUACCCUCGGGUCCGGGAUAACCCCGGGAAACUGGGGAUAAUACCGGAUAGGCCUCUGAUACCUGGAAUGGGCGGAGGCCGAAAGCCGUGAGGCGCCCGAGGAUGGGGCUGCGGCCGAUUAGGUAGUUGUCGGUUUAACGGGCCGACAAGCCUACGAUCGGUACGGGCCGUGAGAGCGGGAGCCCGGAGAUGGGCUCUGAGACAAGAGCCCAGGCCCUACGGGGCGCAGCAGGCGCGAAACCUUCACAAUGCCCGAAAGGGCGAUGAGGGGACGCUGAGUGCCCUUCGGGGCUGUUCGGGUGCCUAAAAAGCACCCGGAGUAAGGGCUGGGUAAGACCGGUGCCAGCCGCCGCGGUAGUACCGGCAGCCCGAGUGGUGGCCGCGUUUAUUGGGCCUAAAGGGUCCGUAGCCGGUCGGGUGAGUUCCUCGGGAAACCUCGCCGCUCAACGGUGAGGCUUCCGGGGAAUACUGCCCGACUUGGGACCAGGAGGGGCCGGAGGUACUCCCGGGGUAGGGGUGAAAUCCGUUGAUCCCGGGAGGACCACCCGUAGCGAAGGCGUCCGGCUGGAACGGGUCCGACGGUGAGGGACGAAGGCCAGGGGCGCGAACCGGAUUAGAUACCCGGGUAGUCCUGGCUGUAAACGAUGCGGGCUUUGCGUCGGCACUGCCACGAGUGGUGCCGGUGUUGAAGGGAAGCCGUUAAGCCCGCCGCCUGGGGAGUACGGGCGCAAGCCUGAAACUUAA
rnacentral:rRNA from 1 species